CCAAUUGUGGGUUUCCCAGGAGGUUACUCUCUCCAGGCUUUGUCCAAAUGGCACAGGGCAGCAUAGGGCCCCUUGGUGUACAGUCCCUUUCCACAGCAUUGAAGAUGAUACUGGGUCUGCAUCUGCAUAUUCCUACAGCUUCUCGGAGUACAAUAGACAAUGACUAGGGAGACAAAUCAUGCAGGAAAUACAU